CGCAGGAAAAACAAUAGAAUUACUGAGAAGAAUUUAAAAUAAAUUUGAUGUUGAAAUAAAUGGAUAAUUAACGACUUUUUACCUGAUCUCAUGUUUAUUGAUACAAACUAAAUAAUAUUUGCGAGCUGUUAUAUAAAACGGUAUUUUUUGGACGACGUUGAACUCUUCGUUUAUUUUAUCGGAACAGACUAUAUUUUGUGAAGCCGGCGCGCCAUCUAUCAACAACAAAUAUUCUAGGCAGAAGACAUUUUGUGUUGGAAAAGUUCCAGAGUUGGUACUGUCUAAUGCUCCUAUUUAUCGGUAGAUCUAAUAAUAAUAUCAUAUGCUGUAUGACAAGGAUGAUGUGCUGUAUGACAACGCCAUUGAUAUUUCUAAAAUAUUUAGCUGCUAUAAGAAUUUCAAUGAGUUGUCUGUAAACUGUUGAAACUGAGUCUAGACACUAAAAACCAAAGACAGAUGUAAAGAUGAAUAUCUAGUAAUUUGUAUCAUGGAAAAAUUUCCAUGCCUAACAACACUAGGCUUUACAGUUCCUGUGAGUGAAAGACUAGAGAUAGAUCAAGUAGCAGACAAAUAUAUAACCAAUAAACUACUUCUUGAAUUGAACACCAUUAAAGAAAAGUCGAAUUGUCAAUACACAUACCAGGAUGUUCUCAACUGGAUAUGUAGUCUUUGUGGAAAAGAAAAUGUUACCAACAAAAGCUUAUAUUUAAAGGUAAAGUCAAUACUGCUGAAAAUCAAGACAACAGUUUCAAAGCUGAAAAAAAGCAAACAAAACAGUGAACAUGUUGAAAAUUAUUUAAGUUUGGUGAUAGAUACUGAUACAUUAUUAGAAAUUCCACACAAUUCAAGAAUAAGAAAGAAUAAUCUCAUUGAAACAUCUGAUACAGAAAAAAUGCGGAUGUCGAACUUAGAGAUCUUAAUAAGAUUGGAAAAUGUACAAGAAGUUGAAGAGGUAGAAGAAACAUUGCAAUUGACAGAAGAAUGAAUGGCAAAAUAACAGAACUUAAUAUAUAUAUAUAUAAAAAUGAAAUAAAACACAUUUUCUUUUUUGAUGUAUUUUAAAUAUAAACAAUUGGAGAUGUUAUGUAAACUUAAAUUAGACAGCAACCUAACAGCUCAAUCACAAUAUCUAU